UACAGAGGUGCCAAGCGUUAGGCGGAAUCACUGGGCUUAAAGCGUGUGUAGGCGGAUGCCUAAGUACCUUGUGAAAUCCCACGGCUCAACCGUGGAACUGCUUGGUAUACUGGGUGUCUUGAGCCAUCUAGGGGCUACCGGAACAAAUGGUGGAGCGGUGAAAAUGCGUAGAUAUCAUUUGGAACGCCAAUGGUGAAAACAGGUAGCUGGGGAUGUGCUGACGCAGAGACACGAAAGCCAGGGGAGCAAACGGG
rnacentral:rRNA from 1 species